UACGUAGGGUGCAAGCGUUGUCCGGAAUUAUUGGGCGUAAAGAGCUCGUAGGCGGUUAGUCGCGUCUGCUGUGAAAACUCGGGGCUUAACUCCGGGCCUGCAGUGGGUACGGGCUGACUAGAGUGCGGUAGGGGAGACUGGAAUUCCUGGUGUAGCGGUGAAAUGCGCAGAUAUCAGGAGGAACACCGGUGGCGAAGGCGGGUCUCUGGGCCGAAACUGACGCUGAGGAGCGAAAGCGUGGGGAGCAAACAGG
rnacentral:rRNA from 1 species